UCCAGGGUAGCCUAGUGGACAUGGCAUCUGCCCGGUAAGCGUAACACUGUGGGUUCGAUUCCCAGCCCUGGGGGUCGGUGGAA